rnacentral:tRNA from 2 species
CAGUGGCUCAGCUGGAUAGAGCAACGGUCUUCUAAACCGUAGGUCGUGAGUUCGAAUCUCACCUGC